rnacentral:rRNA from 1 species
CCCUUAGAUGUCCUGGGCCGCACGCGCGCUACACUGACAUGUUCAACAAGUUUCUCCUAGUUCGACAGGACUGGGAAAUCUUUGAACGCAUGUCGUGAUAGGGAUAGAUCAUUGCAAUUAUUGAUCUUGAACGAGGAAUUCCUAGUAAACGCGAGUCAUCAGCUCGCAUUGAUUACGUCCCUGCCCUUUGUACACACCGCCCGUCGCACCUACCGAUUGAAUGUUUCGGUGAAGAUUCCGGAUAGGACUGAUUUGAUUUAUUUCAUUUCUGACCUAAAAGCUAUCUAAACCUCAACAUUUAGAGGAAGGUGAAGUCGUAACA